rnacentral:rRNA from 1 species
GAUGAACGCUGGCGGCGUGCCUAAUACAUGCAAGUCGAGCGAACGGACGAGAAGCUUGCUUCUCUGAUGUUAGCGGCGGACGGGUGAGUAACACGUGGAUAACCUACCUAUAAGACUGGGAUAACUUCGGGAAACCGGAGCUAAUACCGGAUAAUAUUUUGAACCGCAUGGUUCAAAAGUGAAAGACGGUCUUGCUGUCACUUAUAGAUGGAUCCGCGCUGCAUUAGCUAGUUGGUAAGGUAACGGCUUACCAAGGCAACGAUGCAUAGCCGACCUGAGAGGGUGAUCGGCCACACUGGAACUGAGACACGGUCCAGACUCCUACGGGAGGCAGCAGUAGGGAAUCUUCCGCAAUGGGCGAAAGCCUGACGGAACAACGCCGCGUGAGUGAUGAAGGUCUUCGGAUCGUAAAACUCUGUUAUUAGGGAAGAACAUAUGUGUAAGUAACUGUGCACAUCUUGACGGUACCUAAUCAGAAAGCCACGGCUAACUACGU